rnacentral:rRNA from 1 species
CCUACGGGUGGCAGCAGUGAGGAAUCUUGGUCAAUGGGCGCGAGCCUGAACCAGCAACGUAGCGUGAAGGAUGACUGCCUUACGGGUUGUAAACUUCUUUUAUACCGGGGUAAAAUGCUCUACGAGUCGGGUUUUGAAAGUACGGUACGAAUAAGGAUCGGCUAACUCAGUGCCAGCAGCCGCGGCAAUACGGAGGAUCCGAGCGUUAUCCGGAUUCAUUGGGUUUAACGGGUGCGUAGGUGGUUUUAUAAGUUAGCGGUGAAAUACCGAUGCUCAACAUCGGGGCUGCCGCUGAUACUGUAGGACUAGAGAUCGGAUGCAGAAAGCGGAAUGUGUAGUGUAGCGGUGAAAUGCAUAGAUAUUACACAGAACACCGAUUGCGAAGGCAGCUUGCUAGGCCGGAUCUGACACUGAGGCACGAAAGCGUGGGGAUCGAACAGGAUUAGAUACCCCUGUAGUC